GCUCACAGUGAGCUGAGCGCCUGAGAGGAGCAUCUGAAGGCUUUUCUCAUUGAUGUCGAGCUCCACUUCACCCCCUCUCACGGUUUGACGUUGGAGGAGGAAAUAGGUUUGACUAAACUCCAGAGAUUGUGUGGCGGGGGGGCGGGGGGGCUCUGCAAAGAAUAGCUUAAGCCGCGGAAUAAAGACAAAGAACUUAAUUUGAAGUCAUGGUUGCCCUGUAUUAGAGGCGUGAUGUGCUUCUUUAGUGCUAGGCAUGACCAAAAAAGUUCUGAGGUAGACAGAAAAGGAGGAGGAAGGGGACAUAUAUGGAGAAAAAGAGACUGGUCUUAUGAUGAGUCGAGGCACGUAUCUCCGCUCAACCGUGUCUUUCUGGGCUUCGAGCUCGCAGCUGCAGCGGCGGCUAUUGAAUUCAGAUGCGGCCUGUCUCUCCGCUCCGGCCGCUACAGGUGGAAAUGCUCUUAUCAAUACAGACUGUCCGAGGCUGACUGCGGGCCGAUCCGUCUCAUUGAUGAUUUUAGGUGCCCAUGCCCUCCCUCUCCUCCCCGAGGAGCCCAUUGAUUAAUGUCUGGGUCACAGUGGUAUUUCCAUAUUGAUACCUCGAUUGAUGACGGCGCCCCAGGAACAAGCCGUAUUGACCAGCUGGAAAGUGAUACGUUUCAAACUGUUUGGCGGAUGUAUUUAUGCAUAAUGACCAUAAUUAGGAGGAUAGACAUGUGGUGGAGGCAAAGGAGAUGUAGGUGAAUGAUCCAGCACCUGUAUCCUGGGAGCAAAUCACAUCAAUAGUCCCACAAUAACAACAACAACAACCUGUUAUACUUCCACCACUACUAAUGUACAUUUUAUCGCUAUUAACUGGGAUAAAAUAUAGUGUGACUGUUAGGAGAUGAUAGCAGUAUUGUACUUCAUGGCAUUAUUAUUUAUUUAUUUUUACCAUUCCUAAUUAACCUAUAAGAUAAGAUGAAACUUUAUUGAUCACCAGGAGGAAAUGAAGUAUUACAGCAGCACAAAACACACCAGUGAGUAUUUACUUUCCUCAAGGUCAGUUGUUCCAAACCUGGGAGACCAGACCUCCACAGGUGUCACAGUGUAAAUCUGAGGGGUCGUCAAAUGAUCAACAAGGUAGGGAAAAAAAUAGAAACAAAACAUAAAAAAUAUACUAUACUAAUGUUUCUCAAAUCUUUUUUUUUUUUUUUCAUGGAAGAGUUUCACCAUCUCCGGUAGUUCAAACACUAGUAAAGGGAAUCAGUCUGAGAGAGGAACCUAACUGCUCAUGUGACAAGGAGUGCAUGUGCGGUGGUUAAAUGGUCUACAAAUAUGAGGUCAUGUUAGGUUUCAUUCUGGUCAGCAGUUUUUAUCAGCUGCAAAACAUGACUGUACAGAACACACCUCGCAAUCAGUACUUUGAUAGUUGAGUUUUCAAAGCAACAUGAGACUACUAACAGAGAUUCAAACAUGAAAAUUGUGACAUAUUCCAAAAUCAGAAAACAAAACUCAAUAAUAACAACUCUCAUAAGGAUAGACCUACAGUAGUCUACAAAGGUUCAGCAAGUGUUGCUAAUUGGCAUGCAACCUAAUGUGACCUUUUGUAGCUGUGUUUACAAUGGCAGUUUACUUAUUUUAAAGGAUUUUUUUAGAUGUUUACAUGGCUUUGUCUGCUCCUUACUGCUAUGUAAUCAUAUUCCUGUGAUAUUUCCACGCUAUCUUUCUAAAACUGGCUAGUUCUUCUUCAUCGGGUCAAGUGUACACACUGCAUAAUGCAGAACAACUCCACAGAGAGCCCAGAGUUGUGAACUCAAUUUUGUAGACACCCUAAUUUAAAGGGCUGCAAGAUAACAACAUGAUUCGGUGGGACUUGUUCUACUUGUUGAGGAGAUUACUUUGGAGGCAGAGGGCAGUGUGUGGCGAUGAUAGUGAGAAAAAAAUAAAGCGUUGAGCAGAACGGAUCCAACUUUACACUUUUAGGGUCAGUGGUCAAAAUGAGCACUCGGCCUCCAGUCCCCUGGACAUGGAUCAGGGGCCCUGACGUAUAUCUGCUGAUUACAUCUCCUGAAGUGGAAAACAUGCAAAUAAUAAAUGUAUGAGCAACGUGCUUGUUUUUUUGCUUGAUUAAUUAUGCCGUUUAAUUCCAGAUCCACCAUGCCGCUCCACCGUAUAAUUUCCCAGUGGUCUUGGCUGUUUCUUCUCUCACAUGCGCUCUCUCCUUUUUUUUCCUCAUUGCAAAAUGAAUCAUGGAUCUCACCGUCUGUACCCGGGGGAGAGCGGCAAGUUGGCGAAUGGGCUGACCAAUCAUGAGCAUCAGAGGCAGACACACAGAAGGAGGGAGCCUUUUGUUAUCUGCUGCACUCAUCAAGUUAGAAGACAACUACCGAUUUGGCCUGAAGAAAAUUAAAAGAUGAAUUCUUAUCCAAUCAGAGUGGCCAGUGUGUGUUUAUCUGAGUGGGUGGCAAAGUUUCAGCGCCAUUCAUAAUGUCAAGUGGGACCAUGACUGCUCUUCUAUUCCCAGCCUGGCCAACCCUCUCUCAGCCUCCUGACAGUUCCAGGCAGGAUGCAGAUGAGGGCGAAGGUCAUCUCCGUAGCGAUCGACCCCACAGCCCCGCAGCAUGGCACUCUGACUGGCACAGGUC